CACGUAGGGCGCAAGCGUUGUCCGGAAUUAUUGGGCGUAAAGAGCUCGUAGGCGGUCUGUUACGUCUGCUGUGAAAAUCCAGGGCUUAACCCUGGACCUGCAUUCGAUACGGGCAGACUAGAGUUCGGUAGGGGUAAGCGGAAUUCCUGGUGUAGCGGUGAAAUGCGCAGAUAUCAGGAGGAACACCGGUGGCGAAGGCGGGUCUCUGGGCCGAUACUGACGCUGAGGAGCGAAAGCGUGGGGAGCGAACAGG
rnacentral:rRNA from 1 species